rfam:Streptomyces sp. CB02056 scaffold31, whole genome shotgun sequence.
CUUCACCGACCCCAGCCAGAGCGGCCGGUCGGCGGCACGGUCCUCAGCCUGCCCGUAGGUGGCCAGCAACGCCUGCGCCUC